rnacentral:rRNA from 1 species
CCUACGGGCGGCAGCAGUGAGGAAUAUUGGUCAAUGGACGAGAGUCUGAACCAGCCAAGUAGCGUGAAGGAUGACUGCCCUAUGGGUUGUAAACUUCUUUUAUAUGGGAAUAAAAUGUUCCACGUGUGGGUUUUUGUAUGUACCAUAUGAAUAAGGAUCGGCUAACUCCGUGCCAGCAGCCGCGGUAAUACGGAGGAUCCGAGCGUUAUCCGGAUUUAUUGGGUUUAAAGGGAGCGUAGAUGGAUUGUUAAGUCAGUUGUGAAAGUUUGCGGCUCAACCGUAAAAUUGCAGUUGAGACUGGCAGUCUUGAGUACAGUAGAGGUGGGCGGAAUUCGUGGUGUAGCGGUGAAAUGCUUAGAUAUCACGAAGAACUCCGAUUGCGAAGGCAGCUCACUGGACUGCAACUGACACUGAGGCUCGAAAGUGUGGGUAUCAAACAGGAUUAGAUACCCGAGUAGUC